ACCCCACUAUGCCAAGCCGUAAAAUCAACUCACACUACUAACGCCAGGGGAUUACGAGCUCUAGCUUAAAACCCAAAGGACUUGACGGUGUCCCAUCCUACUAGAGGAGCCUGUUCUAUAAUCGAUGACCCACGCUAUACCUAACCAUUUUUUGCCUUUCAGCCUGUAUACCUCCGUCGCAAGCCUACCAUAUGAAUGAAUUAUAGUAGGCCCAAUAGCCUAAACGCUACAACGUCAGGUCAAGGUGCAGCUUAUAAAAUGGGUGAAAUGAGCUACAAUUUCUAACCUAGAACAAACGAAUUACUAUAUGAAACACAGUCAUAAAGGCGGAUUUAGCAGUAAAUGCGGAAUAGAGAGCCCCAUUAAAUCUGGCCCUGGGACGUGUACACACCGC
rnacentral:rRNA from 1 species